CCUACGGGAGGCAGCAGUAAGGAAUAUUGGUCAAUGGGCGCAAGCCUGAACCAGCCAUGCCGCGUGCAGGAAGACGGCCCUAUGGGUUGUAAACUGCUUUUGAACAAGAGAAAACCUCGGUACGUGUACCGAGCUGAUAGUAUUGUUAGAAUAAGCAUCGGCUAACUUCGUGCCAGCAGCCGCGGUAAGACGAAGGAUGCAAGCGUUAUCCGGAUUCAUUGGGUUUAAAGGGUGCGUAGGCGGACCGAUAAGUCAGUGGUGAAAUCUCUCAGCUUAACUGAGAAACUGCCAUUGAUACUGUCAGUCUAGAGUAUAGAUGAUGUGGGCGGAAUAUGACAUGUAGUGGUGAAAUACUUAGAUAUGUCAUAGAACACCGAUUGCGAAGGCAGCUCACAAAACUAUAACUGACGCUGAGGCACGAAAGUGCGGGGAUCAAACAGGAUUAGAUACCCUGUAGUCCGCACCGUAAACGAUGAUUACUCGUUGUUGGCAAUAUGACCGUCAGCGACCAAGCGAAAGCGAUAAGAAUCCACCCUGGGGAGUACGCCGGCAACGGUGAAACCUUAAGGAAUUGACGGCGNGAGAGNGCGAGGAGACACGAGGGAGAGG
rnacentral:rRNA from 1 species